UACGUAGGGGGCUAGCGUUGUCCGGAAUCAUUGGGCGUAAAGCGCGCGUAGGCGGCCCAGUAAGUCCGUUGUAAAAGUCAAAGGCUCAACCUUUGAAAGCCGAUGGAUACUGCUGGGCUAGAGUCCGGAAGAGGCGAGUGGAAUUCCUGGUGUAGCGGUGGAAUGCGCAGAUAUCAGGAGGAACACCGGUGGCGAAGGCGGAUCUCUGGGCCUUACCUGACGCUGAGGCGCGAAAGCUAGGGGAGCGAACAGG
rnacentral:rRNA from 1 species